UGGAGGGCAAGUCUGGUGCCAGCAGCCGCGGUAAUUCCAGCUCCAAUAGCGUAUAUUAAAGUUGUUGCAGUUAAAAAGCUCGUAGUUGAACCUUGGGCCUGGCUGGCCGGUCCGCCUCACCGCGUGCACUGGUUCGGCCGGGCCUUUCCCUCUGGGGAAUCCCAUGCCCUUCACUGGGUGUGGCGAGGAACCAGGACUUUUACUGUGAAAAAAUUAGAGUGUUCAAAGCAGGCCUAUGCUCGAAUACAUUAGCAUGGAAUAAUAGAAUAGGACGUGUGGUUCUAUUUUGUUGGUUUCUAGGACCACCGUAAUGAUUAAUAGGGACAGUCGGGGGCAUCAGUAUUCAAUUGUCAGAGGUGAAAUUCUUGGAUUUAUUGAAGACUAACUACUGCGAAAGCAUUUGCCAAGGAUGUUUUCAUUAAUCAGGAACGAAAGUUAGGGGAUCGAAGACGAUCAGAUACCGUCGUAGUCUUAACCAUAAACUAUGCCGACUAGGGAUCGGACGAUGUUAUUUUUUGACUCGUUCGGCACCUUACGGGAAAC
rnacentral:rRNA from 2 species